AACGAACGCUGGCGGCAUGCCUAACACAUGCAAGUCGAACGAGACCUUCGGGUCUAGUGGCGCACGGGUGCGUAACGCGUGGGAACCUGCCCUUAGGUUUGGAAUAACUCCCCGAAUGGGGUGCUAAUACCGGAUAAUGUCUUCGGACCAAAGGUUUAUCGCCUUUGGAUGGGCUCGCGUUGGAUUAGUUGGUUGGUAGGGUAAAAGCGUACCAAGGCGAGGAUCCAUAGCUGGUCAGAGAGGAAGGUCAGCCACACUGGUGCUGAGACACGGCCCAGACUCCUACGGGAGGGAGCAAAGGGGGAUAUAGGACAAUGGGCGGAAGCCUGAUGGAGCAAUGCCGCGUGAGUGAUGAAAGCCUUGGGGUUGUAAAGCUCUUUUACCCGGGAUGGUAAUGACGGUACCGACAGAAUAAGCACCGGCUAACUCCGUG
rnacentral:rRNA from 1 species